rnacentral:rRNA from 1 species
GAGUUUGAUCCUGGCUCAGAACGAACGCUGGCGGCAUGCUUAACACAUGCAAGUCGAACGGAGCUUGGCUUUCGGGCCAAGUCGAGUGGCGGACGGGUGAGUAACGCGUGGGAACCUGCCCCUGGGUCUGGGAUAACCGCGGGAAACUGCGGCUAAUACCGGAUAAGUCCCUAGGGAGAAAGAUAUAUUGCCGAGGGAGGGGCCCGCGUCGGAUUAGGUAGUUGGUGGGGUAACGGCCUACCAAGCCAACGAUCCGUAGCUGGUCUGAGAGGAUGAUCAGCCACACUGGGACUGAGAUACGGCCCAGACUCCUACGGGAGGCAGCAGUGGGGAAUAUUGGACAAUGGGGGCAACCCUGAUCCAGCAAUGCCGCGUGAGUGAUGAAGGCCUUCGGUU